GCAGAGGAGUGAUAGAACAAGAAAGACAUAAAAUUCUCAAGCACUGGAGAAGAGGUGCAGAAUUUCCUGGUUCUGGAGACAUUAGAGGGGAUCUCUACAGGAUUUGAGGUCUGAGCACCCCACCAGGCACAUUAGAGUAGUGGGUGAUGCAGAGAAAAUCCUGAACACACCUGGGCUGUAAGAAGCUGACGAUCUCUGCAAUGUCCCCUGGACAGUAUCACGACGGUCCUGAAUAUGGUGCAGCUAGACUGUAUCCAGGAGGUGCGAGUGACCUGGAUCUGGCAUCUAUCCAUCCUGGCCACCUUUGCUCCUCUCCUGGGUCAGACGAGCAAUGUGCAGAAACCCCGUCUCUCCCGCAUUCACGAUCUGCCCGUGAGGAGCAGCAGCAGGAAGUUGUUCGAAUCCCCACUCAGUUUCUAAGUGGCACCGUCUCCAGUCUGUCUAUCUGGACUCUCCCUCCUUGUCUGAACCUGCCUGGACCAGACGCUCAGAUGCCCGAGGACCCCCUUGGCCCACCCGGCAGUAACUAACUGGCAGCUUACAGAGUCGGACUUGCCCCAUCUGUCCCAGAGCCCAAACAUGUGUCAGCUCAAAGGCCUGGAUCUGGGUGGGGUCACCAUGACAGACUUUAGUCCUGAGAUCCUCCACAUUCUUCUGGAACAAUUUGCAGCCACCCUACAGGAAUUGAACUUAGAGCAGUUUGGAAUCACAGAGUCCCAACGUGAGUCCAUCCUGAGUGAGUCCAUGCAUCAGGACUGGAAAACCAAUCCAUGGUUUCAAACAUCAGCUCAACAUGAAUGGAAAGGAAAGAUGAUACUGUGGGUUUGCAGGACUGCAAGGGGAAAUGCAGACUCCGGUUGGCGAUGGGACCUUCAGAGACAUGGGUUUAUAGCAUAACAAACAUGAAUUAAUUUCCUGCAAGGAAAUCUUGUAUGCACAUUACCCUUGAGUAGUGAUUGGAAAUAAAUGGUCACAAAUAAAGAAACCUGCAUUGUAUAUGUA